CCAAAAACAUAGCCCUCAAAACAAUUGAAGGUGAAACCUGCCCAAUGAUUUAAUACACUAAAUUUAAAAAAUUAAAAAAAAAGAUUAAAUGGCUGCAGUAACCAUGACUGUAAAAAUGUAGCAUAAUAAUUCGCCACUUAAUUAGUGGAUAGUAUGAACGGUUUAACGAAAAUUCCACUGUCUUAUGAAAUAAAAAAAAAAUUUAAAUCAUAGUUAAGAUGCUAUGUAAAACUGUAAGACGAAAAGACCCUAUAAAGCUUAACUAUAUUUCUUAAUAAAUUAAAAAAAAAAUAAAAACAAUUAUUAAUUAAGAUUUGGUAGUUUCAUUGGGGCGAUGGUCUCUAAAAAUAAACAGAGAUAAACCUAUAUAAUAAUAAAAAUUUACUGUAUAAUUAAUAAAUUUAACAGUUACAAAGUAGGGUAUAAUGACCCAUUAUUUUAAUAAAAAAAAAAUAAUGAUCAAUAGAUAAAAGCUACUUUAGGGAUAACAGGAUAAUAAUUUCUUAGAGACCCAAUCGAAGAAAAAGUUUAUCACCUCGAUGUUGAAUUAAGAUAACCUAAUGACGCAGCAGUAAUUAAAGGUAGGUC
rnacentral:rRNA from 1 species